rnacentral:rRNA from 1 species
UAGAUUUGAUCCUGGCUCAGAUUGAACGCUGGCGGGAUGCUUUACACAUGCAAGUCGGACGGCAGCACGGGCUUCGGCUGGUGGCGAGUGGCGAACGGGUGAGUAAUGUAUCGGAACGUGCCCAGUAGCGGGGGAUAACUACGCGAAAGCGUGGCUAAUACCGCAUACGCCCUACGGGGGAAAGCGGGGGACCUUCGGGCCUCGCACUAUUGGAGCGGCCGAUAUCGGAUUAGCUAGUUGGUGGGGUAACGGCCUACCAAGGCGACGAUCCGUAGCUGGUUUGAGAGGACGACCAGCCACACUGGGACUGAGACACGGCCCAGACUCCUACGGGAGGCAGCAGUGGGGAAUUUUGGACAAUGGGGGCAACCCUGAUCCAGCCAUCCCGCGUGUGCGAUGAAGGCCUUCGGGUUGUAAAGCACUUUUGGCAGGAAAGAAACGGCACGGGCUAAUAUCCUGUGCAACUGACGGUACCUGCAGAAUAAGCACCGGCUAACUACGUGCCAGCAGCCGCGGUAAUACGUAGGGUGCAAGCGUUAAUCGGAAUUACUGGGCGUAAAGCGUGCGCAGGCGGUUCGGAAAGAAAGAUGUGAAAUCCCAGGGCUUAACCUUGGAACUGCAUUUUUAACUACCGGGCUAGAGUGUGUCAGAGGGAGGUGGAAUUCCGCGUGUAGCAGUGAAAUGCGUAGAUAUGCGGAGGAACACCGAUGGCGAAGGCAGCCUCCUGGGAUAACACUGACGCUCAUGCACGAAAGUGUGGGGAGCAAACAGGAUUAGAUACCCUGGUAGUCACGCCCUAAACGAUGUCAACUACUGUUGGGGCCUUCGGGCCUUGGUAGCGCAGCUAACGCGUGAAGUUGACCGCCUGGGGAGUACGGUCGCAAGAUUAAAACUCAAAGGAAUUGACGGGGACCCGCACAAGCGGUGGAUGAUGUGGAUUAAUUCGAUGCAACGCGAAAAACCUUACCUACCCUUGACAUGUCUGGAAUCCCGAAGAGAUUUGGGAGUGCUCGCAAGAGAACCGGAACACAGGUGCUGCAUGGCUGUCGUCAGCUCGUGUCGUGAGAUGUUGGGUUAAGUCCCGCAACGAGCGCAACCCUUGUCAUUAGUUGCUACGAAAGGGCACUCUAAUGAGACUGCCGGUGACAAACCGGAGGAAGGUGGGGAUGACGUCAAGUCCUCAUGGCCCUUAUGGGUAGGGCUUCACACGUCAUACAAUGGUCGGGACAGAGGGUUGCCAACCCGCGAGGGGGAGCCAAUCCCAGAAACCCGGUCGUAGUCCGGAUCGCAGUCUGCAACUCGACUGCGUGAAGUCGGAAUCGCUAGUAAUCGCGGAUCAGCAUGUCGCGGUGAAUACGUUCCCGGGUCUUGUACACACCGCCCGUCACACCAUGGGAGUGGGUUUUACCAAAAGUAGUUAGCCUAACCGCAAGGGGGGCGAUUACCACGGUAGGAUUCAUGACUGGGGUGAAUCGUC